rnacentral:tRNA from 1 species
AGAGUUUUAGGUUAAGUUAAACUAUAAGUUUUCAAGACUUAAGAUAAGUAAGGUAUUUAAAUUCUG